CCCUUAGAUGUCCUGGGCUGUACGCGCGCUACACUGAUGUGUCCAGUAAGCACCUAACCUAUUCCGAGAGGAGCGGGUAACCUUAGCAAAGCACAUCGUGAUGGGGAUAGAUUAUUGCAAUUAUUAGUCUUGAACGAGGAAUUCCUAGUAAGCACAAGUCAUCAGCUUGUGUUGAUUACGUCCCUGCCCUUUGUACACACCGCCCGUCGCUCCUACCGAUUGAAUGUUCCGGUGAGCUCUUCGGACUGCGCGGUCUGCAGUUUCUGCGUUCCGUGCGGAAAGUUGUGCAAACCUUAACAUUUAGAGGAAGGAGAAGUCGUAACA
rnacentral:rRNA from 1 species